CGCUGACGAGUGGCGGACGGGUGAGUAAUGUCUGGGAAACUGCCUGAUGGAGGGGGAUAACUACUGGAAACGGUAGCUAAUACCGCAUAACGUCGCAAGACCAAAGAGGGGGACCUUCGGGCCUCUUGCCAUCGGAUGUGCCCAGAUGGGAUUAGCUUGUUGGUGGGGUAACGGCUCACCAAGGCGACGAUCCCUAGCUGGUCUGAGAGGAAGGUCCCCCACAUUGGAACUGAGACACGGUCCAAACUCCUACGGGAGGCAGCAUG
rnacentral:rRNA from 1 species